rnacentral:rRNA from 1 species
GGGCGCAAGCCUGAUGCAGCGACGCCGCGUGAGGGAUGACGGCCUUCGGGUUGUAAACCUCUUUCAGCACAGACGAAGCGCAAGUGACGGUAUGUGCAGAAGAAGGACCGGCCAACUACGUGCCAGCAGCCGCGGUAAUACGUAGGGUCCGAGCGUUGUCCGGAAUUACUGGGCGUAAAGAGCUCGUAGGUGGUUUGUCGCGUUGUUCGUGAAAACUCACAGCUUAACUGUGGGCGUGCGGGCGAUACGGGCAGACUUGAGUACUGCAGGGGAGACUGGAAUUCCUGGUGUAGCGGUGGAAUGCGCAGAUAUCAGGAGGAACACCGGUGGCGAAGGCGGGUCUCUGGGCAGUAACUGACGCUGAGGAGCGAAAGCGUGGGGAGCGAACAGGAUUAGAUACCCUGGUAGUCCACGCCGUAAACGGUGGGUACUAGGUGUGGGUUUCCUUCCUUGGGAUCCGUGCCGUAGCUAACGCAUUAAGUACCCCGCCUGGGGAGUACGGCCGCAAGGCUAAAACUCAAAGAAAUUGACGGGG